GACAGAGGUGCCGAGCGUUAGGCGGAAUCACUGGGCUUAAAGCGUGUGUAGGCGGGCGGGCAAGUACCUUGUGAAAUCCCACGGCUCAACCGUGGAACGGCUGGGUAUACUGCCUGUCUUGAGCCAACUAGGGGCGAGCGGAACAGACGGUGGAGCGGUGAAAUGCGUAGAUAUCGUCUGGAACGCCGAAGGUGAAAACAGCUCGCUGGGGUUGUGCUGACGCUGAGACACGAAAGCGUGGGUAGCAAACAGG
rnacentral:rRNA from 1 species